rnacentral:tRNA from 1 species
ACCUGGCUAGCUCAGUCGGUGGAGCAUGCAACUCUUGAUCUUAGGGUCAUGAGUUCAAGCCCCAUGUUGGGUG